rnacentral:rRNA from 1 species
AUACGUAGGUGGCGAGCGUUGUCCGGAAUUAUUGGGCGUAAAGCGCAUGUAGGCGGUUUGGUAAGUCGGUCGUGAAAAUGCGGGGCUUAACGCCGUAUGGGGAUAGUAAACGCUGAACUUGAGUGCCGGGGACGGAAGGGGAACUCCCAGGGUAGCGGGGCAAUUCGUAGAAAUUGGGAAGAACACCUGUGGCGAAGGCGACUUUCUGGACUGUGUCUGACGCUCAGACGCGAAAGCCAGGGUAGCGAACGGGAUUAGAUACCCCGGUAGUCCUGGCCGUAAACGAUGGGUACUAGGUGUGGGAGGUAUCGACCCCUUCCGUGCCGGAGUUAACGCAAUAAGUACCCCGCCUGGGGAGUACGGCCGCAAGGCUUAAACUCAAAGGAAUUGACGGGG